UGGGGAAUAUUGCGCAAUGGGGGGAACCCUGACGCAGCCAUGCCGCGUGAAUGAAGAAGGCCUUCGGGUUGUAAAGUUCUUUCGGUAUUGAGGAAGGUUGAUGUGUUAAUAGCACAUCAAAUUGACGUUAAAUACAGAAGAAGCACCGGCUAACUCCGUGCCAGCAGCCGCGGUAAUACGGAGGGUGCGAGCGUUAAUCGGAAUAACUGGGCGUAAAGGGCACGCAGGCGGUUAUUUAAGUGAGGUGUGAAAGCCCCGGGCUUAACCUGGGAAUUGCAUUUCAGACUGGGUAACUAGAGUACUUUAGGGAGGGGUAGAAUUCCACGUGUAGCGGUGAAAUGCGUAGAGAUGUGGAGGAAUACCGAAGGCGAAGGCAGCCCCUUGGGAAUGUACUGACGCUCAUGUGCGAAAGCGUGGGGAGCAAACAGGAUUAGAUACCCUGGUAGUCCACGCUGUAAACGCUGUCGAUUUGGGGGUUGGGGUUUAACUCUGGCGCCCGUAGCUAACGUGAUAAAUCGACCGCCUGGGGAGAACGGCCGCAAGGUUA
rnacentral:rRNA from 1 species